UACGUAGGGUGCAAGCGUUGUCCGGAAUUAUUGGGCGUAAAGAGCUCGUAGGCGGCUUGUCGCGUCGGGAGUGAAAACACCGGGCUUAACUCGGUGCUUGCUUUCGAUACGGGCAGACUAGAGGUAUGCAGGGGAGAACGGAAUUCCUGGUGUAGCGGUGAAAUGCGCAGAUAUCAGGAGGAACACCGGUGGCGAAGGCGGGUCUCUGGGCCGAUACUGACACUGAGGAGCGAAAGCGUGGGGAGCGAACAGG
rnacentral:rRNA from 1 species